CCGGCCGGCGGCAGGGGCGAGCAGGUCGCGGCGCCGCAGCCGCUGUCAGCGCCGCUACAUCCUCCCCGGCCCGCUUCCGCCUCCGUCAUCCCGGCACGCCGGGAACGCGGCUCCCGGCCCGCUGCGCUCCGCGUGUCCGUCACCGAGCACCGCCCCGGGGGCGGGCGGGCCCUGUGCCGGGGCGCAGCUGUGCAUGGCUGGGUGCCCCGGCGGCGUAACCGGCCUAAGACGGACGUGAACUGGGAAGCGCAGGGCUCCUGAGGGGAACACGGUGCUGCAGGCAGGAGUGUCUCUCGCUGUCACCGUCGGGAGAACAUGACGUGAAGAGCGAAGUGCUCAGGCAGAAGCUUGACGAUUCAAGACCCUGUUUUAAAUAUCUUGAUGGAAGCAGAGUGAUUAAGUUGUUUAUCAAGUAAAUGCGGCGGGUGACAAGAGGAUGGUGCCAGACUGUUUUCGGUGGUGCCCAGCCACAGGACGAGGAGCAAUGGCCAGAAACUAAAAUAUAAGAAGUUUCACCUCAACAUGAGGAAGAACUUUACACUGAGGGUGGCAGAGCACUGGAACAGGCUGCCCAGGGAGGUUGUGGAGUCUCCUCCUUUGAAGGCAUUCCAAACCCACUUGGAUGCGUUCCUGUAUAGCCUGCUCUAGGUGACCCUGCCUUUGCAGGAAGGUUAGACUAGAUGAUCCCCAGAGGUCCCUUCCAACACUAAGUGUUCUGUCAUUCUGUAAAUUUAAAAACGAAGGUGAAGGACUUCCAGAGCAAUUAGCAGAAGCCAGAUAUUAUGGCUUGUAGUUAAGUGUUUUUUAAGAGACAUUUCUUAUGCCAGUUUGGGUAGGUAUUUGAGGGAACUGAUAACUACUUUAAAGGGUACACAUUUUUCAUUGUAAUCAUGCAUGCACUUUGGUAGUGCCUGAAUUAUUUUUCACAUUUCAUGAUAAGUAAUUGAUUUUUAAUGAGAAGUUGCCUGAGAGAAACAAUUUAGGCGUAUUUAUGGUUCACUGGAUAAAUACUGAAUAUCACCAAAUUAAUUAUAAUGUCAUGAGAGAAUAUAUUUUAAUUUAAAAAAUGAGAGUCAUAUUAGUCAACGUGCUGCUCUCAGAAGAAUAAUUUACAUUUUUCCAAGUCCGCUUACAGUCAUUCUUUUAAAUUGCAAAUGGCAACUAAUGACAAAAGACAGAAAGGUUUUUCACAUAUACCUCAGAAAUUGUUUCCUUUUUUCUUUUUCCCCUCCAAUGCAUUCACUGUACAUUAUAUAUAUUUACUGUGUAUUGUAAUCUAUGCAGGUACACAACUGUGCCAGGAACAUAUGGUUCCAUGGUCACACAGAUUGCUGGUGAGGAACAGAUGUCCCUAACCAAACAGCAAGAAGCUGUUUUUUCAUUACUUCUCUUAUACUUUUUAGAAGCCUCAUAGGGCAUUGAACAGGUUAAUUCUUCCUUUCCCCUUCCCCUUUGGGAUACUCUGAACCAAGUACCUACACCUGUGCUGCCAUGAUCUAACAUGGGUGUUUGACACAAUUUCAAGAAGACCGUUUCUAGAUACAGUCCUUCCAAAACCAUUCUUAGCUAAAGCUUUUCUACCAAACUAUGGAAAACCCUAGAGAAAACAAUGUUUCAUGCAAAUUUGCUCCUUCCAUCUGUCCUCAGAAAGUAUGUAUUAUAAUCCAGCUCUUGGGUCAUCUCAUGUCUUAGCCUAUAAAGAAAUUGAUUUUGGAGACAAUCCAAGGCAGAUAGAAAAGAGUUUUCAGAUGUAUUUGUACUGAAGACUGGCUCACUCAUCCCAGGCUUUUUGGGGAUUCUGACUGGGGACUACUCAUCCCCACCGUUCCCUGUUCCUGUCAGACAAGUACUUGACAGAGACAGACCAGUUCUCCCCUCCCACCCCCCUCCAUUUUGUGCAAUAGAAUUUAGGUAUAUUUAACGUUUGAUAUUGUCUUGACAGUCUUUUGUUCUGGUCCUGAAUUGCAAAAGCAAGUGCAAAGCAUCCUGAUUAGGGAAUGGUACAAAAAUUAAAAAAAAUUUCUAGAAUAACUAGAAGAAAAAAGAUUGAGAAUUUUGACUUCGAUUGUUUUGGUUUGUUACAAUAAACUGUACAUUGCUCCAUAUUUUGUGGGGAAAAAAGUGUCAAUUCGUACCUGUAAUAGUCUUACAUAGUUUUCUUAAACAGUUUAUGAAUUGCAUGUCUUACAUAUCUAGAAGGAGCCAGUAAGUUGAUACAUAAUAAUUCAUGCAUCUAAUUUGAAACAAGAUAAGUGAGAAAAACUAGAAUAAUUUACAUGCUCCCUAUAUCCUGUGAUUUUAUUAUCUUCGUAAAAGAGAAUUAGUUAAUCUUUUAAAAUAACAUCGUUUAUGUAAAACAAGAUUGUCAGGACAUUUAUGAGAUGUGUUGGGGCAGAGCAUAACAAACUUUCAAUCCUGCUUUCAUUGGGAAGCUAAGUCCCACGAGGCUGUGAUUAGCCCUUACAUCAAGGCAGGGUGCAAAUGCUUGUUCACUAUCACUGGAAUUAUUAGACUUGCAAGAAUUUUCUAAAGAGCACAGAAUGAGAAAAUUACUGUAAUUUUGCAGCUGAGGAAUGUGUUUUCAGCAUACAAGAGCUGAUACUUUAAAUACUUGCCACUGUAGAAUCUGCCUUUGCAACAGAUUGUGAAGAUCGCAAACUCCUGCUUGUGAACCAUGCUGGGCCAGAGUUCUUGCUUUGAGCUACUUCUGUGGCUUUUUUAUAUGCCACAUUAGUAUAAAGGAAAGCAACAUAUGAAUUUGCAGUAUGUUAACUAUUCUUCUCUGUUUGGAAACUUAAAGUAUUCCCCCUACUCUGUGUAAAUGAACUGUAUAUUAUUUGGCUGACUAUGGCCAUUUUGUUGGGUUGGGUUGGUGGAAUGGUAAAGUGAAAAAAGUUAAAAGUUAUUAAUCUCAGUACUAA